AAUGAUCUUAAAAAUGAUUAAUGAUCUUAAAAAUGAUUACUGCUCCCAGACCAAAGAUGCUAAACAGGAAGAAUAGGCUUAACAGAGAAAUCCCCAAAAGUUUUAGCAUGACUUAAUACUAAAGUUGCAUUGCUUAACUCUGCAUAAGGAAAAAGGGGUCUUAAAGGAACAGAGUAAUAAUUUCUAUAGAAUAGUGUUUCUUAACCUUGGCCACUUUAAGAUAUAUGGACUUCAACUCCCAGAAUUCCCCAGCCAGCAACCCAGUAUAGCAUUGCAACUGUUCAUAAUUAGCUGAUCUGGGUGAAGUAGAUGUGUGAUCCAAGCUAGCAUUUUGAAGCAGAUCAGGAUUCUGUUUCCAUGAGAUGCAUCCAGAAUUCAACUAAUCAGCGAGUUCAGGAACAGAUUAAGACAAGAUCAAAGACCCACAAAAGAUGGAGAAACAAAUUGCAUCCUGGGAAGGCCUGGUUACUCAUCCAAACUGCUGCUAAAGGAGACUCCCUUUAUAUUCUGUGCUUCCCCUUCUCAGGGUUCGAUUGGACUGCAACGGACCGCCAGUCUACCUCGCAGGAGCAGGGAUCGCGUCCCACCCCGCCCUCCUCAACGUCCCAUUUCAAUGCAUGGUGCUCUGGAUCCCAGUCUUCUGGUGGCUCAACUCUCCAGUGGAAGCAAGGGCCAUUAUCUGGGAAGUCCAAACCUUCAAUUCUCACGUUACAACAAACCCCUUUACCAGCUGCUGGGUGGCCAGGCAACUACCAGGCAGGUGGGAACAACCCCUCAAGGAGCUUACAGCCUUGA
rnacentral:lncRNA from 1 species